GUCUACGAUCAUGCCACCCUGAACGUGCCCAAUGUCAUCUGACCUCAGAAGCUAAGCAGGGUCAGGCCUGGUUAGUACUUGGAUGGGAGACAACCUAGGAAUACCAGGAGCUGUAAGCA
rnacentral:rRNA from 1 species